rnacentral:rRNA from 1 species
UACGAACUGUGCGAACGUUAUUCGGAAUCACUGGGCUUAAAGGGUGCGUAGGCGGCUGCCUAAGUCAGGUGUGAAAUCUCCCGGCUCAACCGGGAAACUGCGCUUGAUACUGGGCGGCUCGAGUGAGGUAGGGGUGUGUGGAACUUCCGGUGGAGCGGUGAAAUGCGUAGAUAUCGAGAGGAACACCUGCGGCGGAAGGCGGGUUGCUGGGCUGACACUGACGCUGAUGCGCGAAAGCCAGGGGAGCGAACGGG